UACGGAGGGUGCAAGCGUUAUCCGGAUUCACUGGGUUUAAAGGGUGCGUAGGUGGGCAGGUAAGUCAGUGGUGAAAUCCCCGAGCUUAACUUGGGAACUGCCGUUGAUACUAUCUGUCUUGAAUACUGUGGAGGUAAGCGGAAUAUGUCAUGUAGCGGUGAAAUGCUUAGAUAUGACAUAGAACACCAAUUGCGAAGGCAGCUUGCUACACAGUAAUUGACAAUGAGGCGCGAAAGCGUGGGGAGCGAACAGG
rnacentral:rRNA from 1 species